rnacentral:rRNA from 1 species
UACGUAGGGGGCGAGCGUUGUCCGGAUUUAUUGGGCGUAAAGAGCGUGUAGGCGGCCGUACAGGUCAGCUGUGAAAACUCGAGGCUCAACCUCGAGACGUCGGUUGAAACCGUACGGCUAGAGUCCGGAAGAGGAGAGUGGAAUUCCCGGUGUAGCGGUGAAAUGCGCAGAUAUCGGGAAGAACACCCGUGGCGAAGGCGGCUCUCUGGGACGGUACUGACGCUGAGGCGCGAAAGCUAGGGGAGCAAACAGG